rnacentral:lncRNA from 1 species
AAGGUAUUCCUUUCCAGAAUAGAGAUCCCUCCUCCAAGAUGCAGUUAAGUUCCUCCUAUUUUCAUCCAGCUAAAAACUGGUUGUUCACACUGAGACUGGCUCAAACACUUUUCUUACUGUGUGCACAGCUGCCAAAAAAAGAGUCAUCUUUGUCUUCAGAUGCUAGACAAAGACACUAUUUGGAUUUGUUAAAACGCCUAGUUGACUACCAAAGUAUAAAGGGAAGUGUCAUCAUGGAGAACAGCUUAAGCCAAGAAGCAGAGGAAAAUCCCUAUCUGUGUCUUCAGAGAACACCGUCUCUCAGACGUAAAUGGAGAAAGCGCUACGGAGGCCUGGAUGGUAAUAAACUGCUGGAGCCAAAUAAGGAGGACGACACAAGAGAGAAUGGAGAGAUGACCGAUGCCCUCACCAACAGGAACGCAGACCCUGUGAAGCUUACUGCGUCUAAGGAAACAAAAGCUGCAGGGAACAUUCCACAACCUGCGCCAAGAAAUACCUUUCCAUCCCAGAGGCCAGUCAGUUACGUCUCUCCAGGCUCUACAGGCAUGCCAUCUUUUAUAAGCAAUGGAGGCACAAAACGGACAGUACCAGAGCAGGACAAACUUCAUGCCAGCCAAGCAUGGCAACACUUGGGCCGACCAGAGACGUAUCAAGGUCAUUUUAAGAAAAAAGUGUGA